rnacentral:rRNA from 1 species
CGUAGGGGGCAAGCGUCGUCCGGAUUUAUUGGGCGUAAAGCGCUCGCAGGUGGUUCGUCGCGUCGUACGUGAAAGACCCCGGCUCAACUGGGGAGGGUCGUGCGAUACGGGCGGACUGGAGGCCAGUAGGGGGAUGCGGAAUUCCGGGUGUAGUGGUGGAAUGCGUAGAGAUCCGGAGGAACACCAGCGGCGAAGGCGGCAUCCUGGACUGGUCCUGACACUCAGGAGCGAAAGCGUGGGGAGCGAUCCGGAUUAGAUACCCGGGUAGUCCACGCUGUAAACGAUGCGCACUAGGUGUCGGGGGUAUCGACCCCCUCGGUGCCGCAGCUAACGCGAUAAGUGCGCCGCCUGGGGACUACGGCCGCAAGGCUA